rnacentral:rRNA from 1 species
GAUGAACGCUAGCGGCAGGCUUAAUACAUGCAAGUCGAGGGGCAACAGGGGUAGCAAUACCUGCUGGCGACCGGCAAACGGGUGCGGAACACGUACAGAACCUUCCUUUAAGCGGGGGAUAGCCCGAAGAAAUUCGGAUUAAUACCCACUAGUAAUAUUUGGUGGCAUCAUUAGAUAUUUAAAGAUUUAUCACUUAGAGAUGGCUGUGCGGCUGAUUAGGUAGUUGGUGUAGGAAAGGCUUACCAAGGCGACGAUCGGUAGCUGGUCUGAGAGGACGACCAGCCACACUGGGACUGAGACACGGCCCAGACUCCUACGGGAGGCAGCAGUGGGGAAUAUUGGACAAUGGGCGCAAGCCUGAUCCAGCAAUUCCGCGUGGGUGAAGAAGGUCUUCGGAUUGUAAAGCCCUUUCGACGGGGACGAUGAUGACGGUACCCGUAGAAGAAGCCCCGGCUAACUUCGUGCCAGCCGCCGCCGUAAU